CCCCGCAAAAAUUUUUUCAAUUCCCUCCCUACUGCAAACCCAUCCCAUUUUCCCAUCUCCCCUACCAAGCCUAUGUCUCAGUGCCCCUCUCUCUGUCUCUCACCACUCGCCAUAGGCGCCCUCGCCGCUCCCUUGCUGGCCGCAGUCGCUCGUCGUCCUCAACUUCGUCUCUCGCCCGCGCUUGCCGUCGCUGCCCUUGGCCUCGCCGCUCGCCGCCGCCGCCCUCACCUUCUCCCUCGUCCUCUGUUGCUCACCCUCACCUUCUCUCUCAGCCUCUGUCGCUCCCCGUCGCCGCCCUCACCAUCCCCGUCGCCCUUGCCAACGCCAUUCUCUGAAUAUGGCACACAGAUCAUCAUAUGGUCAGUCUAUGCGUCGUCAUCAGUUCAGAGACAUUGAUAGGGAGGACCAUAUCGUUACACCCUAUCUUUAACUUAUUCAUUACUUUGCAUAUUAAAUCCUUCACAAUUAUAUGUUUUUGCAGGGGGACAAUCAUCUCCGUCCAUUGAUAUGAGAUUUGAUUCCCUUAGCCCACAGACACCCCACCCCAACUAUGAUGGGCCUUCUUCCACGCCUACUGAAGUCGGGGGUUCAUCCACAUCCACUGCCACCCCUGAUAAUCGUCCGAUGAUAUGUCCAUUGGAUUUUUCGUUUAAUAAUAAUUUGUGCAAACGAGAUAUUUCUCGAAUUAUCCAAAGUAAGUUUGAGGGGCCAUACCUCAGUUGGAAGAAGACAAAUCCUGUUGUUAGGGAGGUGUGAUAUGAUGAGUUUAAGUUAAGACAAUUUGGUCGCCCACCUACACAAGCUGAGUUAUUCCUCGCGACUUAUAGAAGGAAAGACAAUUCCGGAUUCGUUGAUAGAAGGUCCGAGAAUACUUAUGCUAACUUUUAGAUGCGACAACAUGAGGCAUCAUCACAGUCAUCGGCUGUUGGCCAUUCAGAAGAUAGUGAUGCUAGCCGACCCUCACACCCAACUAUUGACGAUAGAUCCUUUUGGUUGGAGGUUGCAGGUGGUAAGAAAAAGGGUCGUGUUUAUGGAAUGGGGUCAGAGGCACAUAUAAUCCCCAAUUCCUACUAUGUACCGACACCACAGCCACCGCCACAGCCGUCGUCGUCCAUCUCACUAUUAGAUCAAAUACAAGAAGCUGUUCGGGUAGCAAUAAAACCCUUCAACUAGCGAAUCUCGGCUAUUGAAGAUAGACUAUAUCACUGUUCUUCAUCUUCGUCGCCCUAGAUGCAUAUGUAAUAUGGAAUUAUAGACGAUUAUGGAUUUGUAGACGUUAUUUGUAUGCAUGAUAUGUUAUUUGUA